rnacentral:lncRNA from 1 species
UCCAUAUAUGACUUUCAUAACAUAUACUUUAUUAUCUUUUAGACAAUUUGUUACUAUCUUGUAAGUUUUACACACUGCUUAACACGUGUCUAAGCCCAUAGUGACACAUCUUGAUAAGUGUGUCCCUUACACCAUCACCAUCGCCUACAUUAGACAAAUAAGACGGUAAAUAUAUUCUAACUCAAACAAUAUUAAAUAUAUUUUUGCUCAUUUUUUCCUUUUUAUUUUUUUUCUGUUUACUCAAUAUUUUUCCAUCACAGUUUCAAAGUAAUUUCUAUUAAAAUUGUAAUCAAUACUAUGUUUAAUUAACAUCUUGUGGCUGAAAGCUUCCAAUCCAAACUUCUGUUAGGUAGAAGAACUUUCCAGUCUGAGUUAGAGGCUUUGAAACCAUGAGCUAUUAAUUAAAAGCCAGAAAGUUUAUCAUAAUUAGCUUAGAAUAGAGAUGGUAGCGUUCUGAUAAACAAGACAAGUAAAAAUAUUAAAUUAGGCUGUCUAGAAGAAAAACCAAAAGUGUUCAAAUUUAGUCAGCAGCUCGACCGUCUAACAUUUCUAACUACUACUUCAAAAUGCAAGCUAUAAAUCAAGGUAAACAAAUGAAAAAAUUCCAACUAUAACUAUGAAAUGUUUGUGAAAAAAGAAAAAAUAAAUACUUCAGCACGUGAGCCAGUUUGCAAGUUGGAUACUUAAAGAAAAAAAGGGCAAAUCUCCAAAAUAGCACUUUUCUAAAUUUAUAUCACAAAAAUAGCUCUCGAAAAACUAAAAUGACCGAAAUAGCAUUUUAUGUUUUGAAAAAUUUAAUUUUUUUUUAUUUUUCAAAAUUUGAAAUCUUAUCCCAAAACCCCACUCCCCAACUCUAAACCCUAAAACCUAAACUCUAAAUCCUAAACCCUAAACUCUAAACCCUAAACCUCACCUCUUAACUCUAAACCCUAAACCCCACCCCUAAACUUUAAACCCUAAACCCUAAACCCUAAACCCUAAAUCAUAAACCCCACCCCUUAACUCUAA